GACAGAUGAGGCAAGCAAGUUUAUUUGUUUUACUGUAGAAAGAUUAACUUAGUUUCCAUGUGUUAUUUACAGGAGGCAAGCAAGUUUGUGGCUGCAGCUGGAUGCCCCUUAAAUUUCAUUUCUUUGUCGAUUUUUUUAACAUUUGAAGAAAAAGUUAACUCAACAGGUAAAUUCCAUUUGCAACUUUUUUAAAUAAUCACUUCUCGUAUUAAACCAUAGUAAACGUUUGUUUUGUAGGCAUUUACAGGAUACAAUAGUAACAUGUGACUUCCUUACUUACAGAUUGCAUGAAAAACCUGGCGGAUAUCAGACCUGGGUUGAGAUAUGAUGUGUUAUAUGAGACAAAACAAGAGAUUGAAUACGAAUGUAUUUGGAAAGACACUUGCACUCCAAAACUACUUAAACUCAGUUGAAGUCAGACAUGUACAUACACCUUAGCCAAAUACAUAUAAACUCAGUUGUUGACAAUUCCUGACAUGUGAUCUUAGUAAAAAAUGAUCUGUCUUAGGUCAGUCAGGAUAACUACUUUAUAUUAAGAAUGUGAAAUGUCAGAGAAAUAGUAAAGAGAAUGACUAAUUUCAGCUUUUAUUUCUUUCAUCACAUUCCCAGUUGGUCAGAAGUUUACAUACACUCAAUUAGUAUUUGUUAGCUUUAAAAUUGUUUAACUUAGGUCAAAUGUUUCAGGUAGCCUUCCACAAGCAAUAAGUAGAUUUUUUUUCCCAUUCCUCCUGACAGAAACGGUGUAACUGAGUCAGGUUGUUACACUAUCCUGUAGAGCAGUGUUUCCCAAUCCUGGUCCUCAGGACCCAAAGGGGUGAACGUUUUUGUUUUUGCCCUAUCACUCACACAACUGGUUCAAAUGGUACCCAAACACUUACAAACUUGAUUGAUGUAAUCAACCUAUCAUCAAGUCUUUAAUUUGAAUCAGGAGUGCUAGGGCAAAACCAAAAAUGUGCACCCCUUUGGGUCCCGAGGACCAGGAUGGGAAACACUGCUAUAGAGAAGGCUGACCAUACUUUAAUGACAAUUAAUCUUUCAAAUUCUAGCCAAAAUAUAAUAUUCAUGGGGUUUCGGAAAAAGACUGUCAGGCUCCAGUGGAUAAAAUGGAAUCCCUUAGCCUCUUGGGGUUUGAAGGCUGACCUUUACCCAGCAGAAACCUUCCAAGGACCACUCUUAUCUGUUCCGUCUCCCCUCUCCACGCAAAGCGUCUGAACAAAGUUUGGGAAAGAAGUCUCAUGUUAUACUUAAUGAUAUAUAUGUCCCGUCUCUGUUUUUAUCAAGCUAGCAAAUAUGGUUCUCAAAUUAUUCUGAUUUCAAAGUAAAAUUAAUGGCAGACUUACCACUUCCCAGUUCUUAUAUCCAAUUAAUUUGUGAAUUUAGACAAUAAUAAUGUGCAUUUUUCAUAUUAUUUGUAUAUGUUUUGUAUUUGCUGUGAGACCGGGCUCAGCUGUAAAAUAGAUCUAGGUCUAAGACUGACUUCUCUGUAUUAAUAAACAAACUAAUAUUAGCUAUAGCUUUUACCUAAUCAUUGUUCUUGCAAAAGCAUUUAAGUGCUUUUAUCAAAUAUUUGAUAGAGCUCUGAGUUUGUCUGGGCUGGCUUAGUAAGAGGGAGAGUAGAUGUGGGGAGGGACAAGGAAAAGAGAGUUGCGAGAUUAAGAGUUUUUUUUCCCAGGAAGGCGUUCCGGAGGCAUCCGAAACAGAUGCCCAAGCCACCUCAGCUGAGCCCU
ensembl:lncRNA